AAGUCGUAACAAGGUUUCCGUAGGUGAACCUGCGGAAGGAUCAUUAUUACGUAUCCACGUAUCAACCCAAUCGUGAACUGUUUCCCGUCUGAUGAGGAUUUCUGCGACUAGACGAAUAACACAAAUGCAUGUUGGACUGAAGGGUAGAGACGCAAGUUUCUUCUUCAGCAAAAAAGUCUAGUCGGUCCUAAUCCGUUGUCGCUUGCGACCGCGAGUUAGCUCAACAGAUGUGGUUUUUCCUCCAAUCAUGCGAACAAUUAAACCCCUUGUACAAACAAAUUGAACUAAAUAAUCGCUACCUGAUAAAAAGGGUGGUGAACAACUGAAAUUAAGAAACAACUCUUAACAACGGAUAUCUUGGUUCUC
rnacentral:misc_RNA from 1 species